rnacentral:lncRNA from 1 species
AUGUGUCUCUGUGUCCCUUCUCUUCCAUCCAGCAAAUCCAGACAUGAAAGCCAAGAAAUUAAACAAGCUGCCAGCCUCAGAUUUCAGCGUUUCUUCAUGCUGACCCCAUCACCCUCCUGGGGAGGUCUUCGUGGCCACGCAGCUUCCAGCGAUGUUACAAAGAGUGACUAUGAUAAAUUUACUAAGGUGGACAGAAACCCUUUGGACCCUUCACCUCAGCAGCUUCCAUCCCCACCAGCUUUUCUCAAGAAGCCGACAUGCUCUGACACUGAGCUUGGGCCUCUGAGUCUGCUUCAUUCAGAAGCUCUGGGAGUUGUGGCCAUCAGGCUGCAGUGCACAAACAGGUCGGUGUCUGUGCGUCUUUGAAGCAGGCAGGCACUGCUGUGUGCUGCCUGGCUGAGCAGGGAUGGGGCAGGACAGGUGGUGGAUGGGCUUCUGAGCAGCCGCCUGAAGGGGACAGUGGAGGUGCUUUUAGAAAAGGAUCUGGCACGAAGCUGAAGGGCAGCUUCUAAAAUUGAGUAAAUUACAUCUGUAUUAAGGAAAAAAAAGAACUUGUAAAUCACGUGUUUACACAAUUGAGCACGCGAACAAGCGAGUCCUCAUACAAGACCCAGAUGUUCAUUAGAAAUGUGAGCAGGUCUUUUGCUGCUACCACAGCAGCCUGUGCUGAAGGGGCAUAAAGGAGUGAGUGAAGUCUACAGAAUCCAGGAAAUUUCCUGUUAAGGCUAAAAAUCGGGGGUACUAUUGCAGUCCUUUCAUUUGGACCCAAGAUAUAAAUUAAAGCCAGAGUAUCAGUUCAGGUGCUCAGGUCCUCAGCACUUAGCUGUGGAAUUUCCAGGUUAAGUUACUUAAAUUUUCCUGUUGCUGAACAAAGCUAAAAUCCUGUGUGCUGUAUAUUUGCUCAUCAUAAAAUGUUCUCCCACAGUCAGUAACAGCUUCUUUGCUGGCGAAGCCUUUCUGCUUUAUGAGCUUCCCAGCCUUUGAAUGGGGCACUGCGAGUUAAGAACUUCCACAUGGCUCUUUC